AAAUUGAAGAGUUUGAUCAUGGCUCAGAUUGAACGCUGGCGGCAGGCCUAACACAUGCAAGUCGAACGGUAACAGGAAGCAGCUUGCUGCUUUGCUGACGAGUGGCGGACGGGUGAGUAAUGUCUGGGAAACUGCCUGAUGGAGGGGGAUAACUACUGGAAACGGUGGCUAAUACCGCAUAACGUCGCAAGACCAAAGAGGGGGACCUUCGGGCCUCUUGCCAUCAGAUGUGCCCAGAUGGGAUUAGCUUGUUGGUGAGGUAACGGCUCACCAAGGCGACGAUCCCUAGCUGGUCUGAGAGGAUGACCAGCCACACUGGAACUGAGACACGGUCCAGACUCCUACGGGAGGCAGCAGUGGGGAAUAUUGCACAAUGGGCGCAAGCCUGAUGCAGCCAUGCCGCGUGUAUGAAGAAGGCCUUCGGGUUGUAAAGUACUUUCAGCGGGGAGGAAGGUGUUGUGGUUAAUAACCACAGCAAUUGACGUUACCCGCAGAAGAAGCACCGGCUAACUCCGUGCCAGCAGCCGCGGUAAUACGGAGGGUGCAAGCGUUAAUCGGAAUUACUGGGCGUAAAGCGCACGCAGGCGGUCUGUCAAGUCGGAUGUGAAAUCCCCGGGCUCAACCUGGGAACUGCAUUCGAAACUGGCAGGCUUGAGUCUUGUAGAGGGGGGUAGAAUUCCAGGUGUAGCGGUGAAAUGCGUAGAGAUCUGGAGGAAUACCGGUGGCGAAGGCGGCCCCCUGGACAAAGACUGACGCUCAGGUGCGAAAGCGUGGGGAGCAAACAGGAUUAGAUACCCUGGUAGUCCACGCCGUAAACGAUGUCUACUUGGAGGUUGUGCCCUUGAGGCGUGGCUUCCGGAGCUAACGCGUUAAGUAGACCGCCUGGGGAGUACGGCCGCAAGGUUAAAACUCAAAUGAAUUGACGGGGGCCCGCACAAGCGGUGGAGCAUGUGGUUUAAUUCGAUGCAACGCGAAGAACCUUACCUGGUCUUGACAUCCACAGAACUUUCCAGAGAUGGACUGGUGCCUUCGGGAACUGUGAGACAGGUGCUGCAUGGCUGUCGUCAGCUCGUGUUGUGAAAUGUUGGGUUAAGUCCCGCAACGAGCGCAACCCUUAUCCUUUGUUGCCAGCGAUUAGGUCGGGAACUCAAAGGAGACUGCCAGUGAUAAACUGGAGGAAGGUGGGGAUGACGUCAAGUCAUCAUGGCCCUUACGACCAGGGCUACACACGUGCUACAAUGGCGCAUACAAAGAGAAGCGACCUCGCGAGAGCAAGCGGACCUCAUAAAGUGCGUCGUAGUCCGGAUUGGAGUCUGCAACUCGACUCCAUGAAGUCGGAAUCGCUAGUAAUCGUGGAUCAGAAUGCCACGGUGAAUACGUUCCCGGGCCUUGUACACACCGCCCGUCACACCAUGGGAGUGGGUUACAAAAGAAGUAGGUAGCUUAACCUUCGGGAGGGCGCUUACCACUUUGUGAUUCAUGACUGGGGUGAAGUCGUAACAAGGUAACCGUAGGGGAACCUGCGGUUGGAUCACCUCCUUA
rnacentral:rRNA from 1 species